rnacentral:lncRNA from 1 species
CUGCCCAGGAGUCUCCUCAACCCCAAGAUAUCAGUGAGCAAAAGUUCCAUAGCCAAUUAAUUUUCUUUAUCUUGGAAAAUCCCUGAAGUGUUUGUAACAGGCAGUGUUUCUCUUGAUUUAUCUUUUGUACUUCUCUUUUCUAUGAAAUAAAGACUUGAUUUCAAUUCUAUAUCUUUUUAUGUGUUCUUCAUUUGAAGUCAUAUUUAGAAUAGUCUAUACUCUUGGGACAAGCUGUAAUCAAUGGAUACAGUUCAUAUUCUUGGGAUAGAUUAUCUUUAAGUAUGAUUUCUUUUAUCUUGUAUGUAUCUCAUCCUGACUAGCCUAUACUCUAGAGGGA